AACGAACGCUGGCGGCGCGUCUUAAGCAUGCAAGUCGAACGGUAAGGGAGAGCUUGCUCUCCCCUAGAGUGGCGGACUGGUGAGUAACGCGUGGGUGACCUGCCCUGAAGAUGGGGAUAGCUAGUAGAAAUAUUAGAUAAUACCGAAUGUGCUCAUUUACAUAAAGGUAAAUGAGGAAAGGAGCUACGGCUCCGCUUCAGGAUGGGCCCGCGUCCCAUUAGCUGGUUGGUGAGGUAAAGGCCCACCAAGGCAACGAUGGGUAUCCGGCCUGAGAGGGUGAACGGACACAUUGGGACUGAGAUACGGCCCAAACUCCUACGGGAGGCAGCAGCUAAGAAUCUUCCGCAAUGGACGAAAGUCUGACGGAGCGACGCCGUGUGAAUGAAGAAGGCCGAAAGGUUGUAAAAUUCUUUUGCAGAUGAAGAAUAAGAAGAAGAGGGAAUGCUUCUUUGAUGACGGUAGUCAUGCGAAUAAGCCCCGGCUAAUUACGUGCCAGCAGCCGCGGUAACACGUAAGGGGCGAGCGUUGUUCGGAAUUAUUGGGCGUAAAGGGUAUGUAGGCGGUUAGGUAAGCCUGGUGUGAAAUCUACGAGCUCAACUCGUAAACUGCAUUGGGUACUGCUUGACUUGAAUCACGGAGGGGAAACCGGAAUUCCAAGUGUAGGGGUGGAAUCUGUAGAUAUUUGGAAGAACACCGGUGGCGAAGGCGGGUUUCUGGCCGAUGAUUGACGCUGACAUACGAAGGUGCGGGGAGCAAACAGG
rnacentral:rRNA from 1 species